AUGAACGCUGGCGGCGUGCCUAAUACAUGCAAGUCGAGCGAACAGACGAGGAGCUUGCUCCUCUGACGUUAGCGGCGGACGGGUGAGUAACACGUGGAUAACCUACCUAUAAGACUGGGAUAACUUCGGGAAACCGGAGCUAAUACCGGAUAAUAUAUUUAACCGCAUGGUUCAAUAGUGAAAGACGGUUUUGCUGUCACUUAUAGAUGGAUCCGCGCCGCAUUAGCUAGUUGGUAAGGUAACGGCUUACCAAGGCAACGAUGCGUAGCCGACCUGAGAGGGUGAUAGGCCACACUGGAACUGAGACACGGUCCAGACUCCUACGGGAGGCAGCAGUAGGGAAUCUUCCGCAAUGGGCGAAAGCCUGACGGAGCAACGCCGCGUGAGUGAUGAAGGUCUUCGGAUCGUAAAACUCUGUUAUUAGGGAAGAACAAAUGUGUAAGUAACUAUGCACGUCUUGACGGUACCUAAUCAGAAAGCCACGGCUAACUACGUG
rnacentral:rRNA from 1 species